UACGAAGGGGGCUAGCGUUGCUCGGAAUUACUGGGCGUAAAGCGCACGUAGGCGGCUUUCUAAGUCGGGGGUGAAAUCCUGGAGCUCAACUCCAGAACUGCCUUCGAUACUGGAGAGCUUGAGUCCGGGAGAGGUGAGUGGAACUGCGAGUGUAGAGGUGAAAUUCGUAGAUAUUCGCAAGGACACCAGUGGCGAAGGCGGCUCACUGGCCCGGUACUGACGCUGAGGUGCGAAAGCGUGGGGAGCAAACAGG
rnacentral:rRNA from 1 species